rnacentral:rRNA from 1 species
AUUGUGGUUUUAUUUCGACGCAAACGCGAAGAACCUUUACCCAGGCUUGAACUGCAGAUGACAUCCUACGAAAGUAGGCUUCCGCAAGGACGUCUGUAGAGGUGCUGCAUGGCUGUCGUCAGCUCGUGUCGUGAGAUGUUGGGUUAAGUCCCGCAACGAGCGCAACCCUUGUCUUCUGUUGCCAUCGGGUUAUGCCGGGCACUCUGAAGAGACUGCCGGUGACAAACCGGAGGAAGGUGGGGAUGACGUCAAGUCAGCAUGGCCUUUAUGUCUGGGGCCACACACGUGCUACAAUGGCCGGUACAAACCGUCGCGAUCCCGCGAGGGGGAGCUAAUCGGAGAAAGCCGGUCUCAGUUCGGAUUGUAGGCUGCAACUCGCCUGCAUGAAGUUGGAAUCGCUAGUAAUCGCGGAUCAGCACGCCGCGGUGAAUACGUUCCCGGGCCUUGUACACACCGCCCGUCACAUCACGAAAGCCGGCUGUACUAGAAGUCGCUGAGCUAACCCGCAAGGGAGGCAGGCGCCUAAGGUAUGGUCGGUGAUUGGGGUGAAGUCGUAACAAGGUAGCCGUAAG